GUACUCAUAGCUCAGCUGGAUAGAGUGUCUGACUACGAAUCAGAAGGUCGGGGGUUCGAAUCCCUCUGGGUACACCA
rnacentral:tRNA from 1 species